rnacentral:rRNA from 1 species
GACGAACGCUGGCGGCGUGCCUAACACAUGCAAGUCAACUUGACUGAAGGAGCAAUCUGACAGUAGAGUGGCGCAAGGGUGCGUAACACGUAAGUAACUUGCCCAAGGUAAGGAAUAACGUCGAGAAAUCGGCGCUAAUACCUCAUAAUGCAGCGGAUCCGCAUGGAUAUGUUGUUAAAGGUUUACCGCCUUGGGAUAGGCUUGCGUCUGAUUAGCUAGUUGGUGUGGUAACGGCACACCAAGGCUACGAUCAGUAACUGGUCUGAGAGGAUGAUCAGUCACACUGGAACUGAGACACGGUCCAGACUCCUACGGGAGGCAGCAGUGAGGAAUAUUGGGCAAUGCUCGAAAGAGUGACCCAGCAACGCCGCGUGGAGGAUGAAGGUAUUCUAUAUCGUAAACUCCUGUGAGAGCAGACGAAGACAGAUUAUUAAUCUGGAUGACUGUAUGCUCAGAGGAAGCCCCGGCUAACUAC